CCUACGGGUGGCAGCAGUGAGGCCUAUUUGUCAAUGGGCGCGAUCCUGAACCAGCCAAGUCGCGUGAGGGAGGACGGCCCUACGGGUUGUAAACCUCUUUUGCCGGGGAGCAACGGGCGCCACGUGUGGCGUCACUGAGAGUACCCGGAUAAAAAGCAUCGGCUAACUCCGUACCAGCAGCCGCGGUAAUACGGAGGAUGCGAGCGUUAUCCGGAUUUAUUGGGUUUAAAGUGUGCGUAGGCGGAUCGUUAAGUCAGUGGUCAAAUUGAGGGGCUCAACCCCUUCCCGCCAUUGAAACUGGCGUUCUUGAGUGGAAGAGAAGUAUGCGGAAUGCGUGGUGUAGCGGUGAAAUGCAUAGAUAUCACGCAGAACCCCGAUUGCGAAGGCAGCAUGCCGGCUUCCGACUGACGCUGAAGCACGAAAGCGUGGGGAUCGAACAGGAUUAGAUACCCGGGUAGUC
rnacentral:rRNA from 1 species